rnacentral:misc_RNA from 1 species
UCCAGCUUAUCGCUGGCGGUCUCCUGCGAGUCCCCCCUUGCGGGAUGGCAACACAGGACAAGGGUUGCGCUCGUUGCGGGACUUAACCCAACAUCUCACGACACGAGCUGACGACAGCCAUGCAGCACCUCGACCGGACUCCCUUGCGGGAUAGCAGUGUUUCCACCGCCGUUAGCCGGCCGUUCGAGCCCAGGUAAGGUUCUUCGCGUUGCGUCGAAUUGAACCACAUGCUCCACCGCUUGUGCGGGCCCCCGUCAAUUCCUUUGAGUUUCAGCCUUGCGACUGUACUCCCCAGGCGGCAUAUUUAACGCGUUGGCUCCGGCACGGAGGGGGUCAAGUCCCCCCAAGCACCUAGUGCCCAUCGUUUACGGCGUGGACUAC